rnacentral:rRNA from 1 species
GUUUGAUCCUGGCUCAGAGUGAACGCUGGCGGCAGGCCUAACACAUGCAAGUCGAGCGGCAGCGCGUCCGACCACCCUCGGGUGGUCGGAUGGCGGCGAGCGGCGGACGGGUGAGGAAUGCAUCGGAAUCUGCCUCGUUGUGGGGGAUAACGUAGGGAAACUUACGCUAAUACCGCAUACGACCUACGGGUGAAAGUGGGGGACCUUCGGGGCCUCACGCGAUGAGAUGAGCCGAUGCCGGAUUAGCUAGUUGGCGGGGUAAAGGCCCGACCAAGGCGACGAUCCGUAGCUGGUCUGAGAGGAUGAUCAGCCACACUGGAACUGAGACACGGUCCAGACUCCUACGGGAGGCAGCACGUGGGGAAUAUUGGACAAGUGGGGGCAACCCGUGAUCCAGCCAUGCCGCGUGUGUGAAGAAGGCC